rnacentral:lncRNA from 1 species
UAGUUUGUAAUAUAGAAAUUAAUGUUUGAUAAAAUCUCUUUUAAUUACAAAUUCACUAAAACAUUAAGGUUAUGAACUAAUAAAUUGGUCAAUAACUAUUUUGUUAUUUCAUCUUGAUACUACAAAAGAUAUAGAAAAAUUAUUUCCUUUAUAACACACAGUGAGAGUCUCGUUGGACCCACUUUAGAAGUGAAGCUACAUAUAGUGUGGUCUAAUUGUUUUUGUCAUGCUAAGAAAGCAUAGGCAUGAAAUCCCCACUUCAAAUGGGAAAGUGUCUUAUGUCUCCCUCUGACUAGCCUCCAUGCAUGCUUCUUGUUUAUUUUGAUACAUACUUCCAAUAUAAGUUUGUGCACUUUCUGGUAGAAAAUGCUCCAUAAGAAUGAAUUCUUUGUAUUCAUGUAUUUGGUUUUAAUUAGGACGUGAAAGGUGAUCCUUGUAUCGUCAAAGCAUUGGAAACUGCCUCUUCAAAUUCUUUCUCAUCAGGUACUUGCUAGUUGCAUAAAAGUUUUGUUGGGUCUGAUUUUGAGGAU